rnacentral:lncRNA from 1 species
UUACAGACCUCUGCCAUGCCGGCUGGCUAGGUCGCUCUAGCUCAGGGAACUCCAAGAGAGAGGAGGAAGAAAGAGUGUAAGAGACAGAGAGGAUGGAGCACACCUGGAGAAUAAGGUCCUCUGAGUCAACUGAGCAAGGUUCAUAUGAACUCACAGAGGUUGAAGUUCCAGGGUUGCGGCCAACACAGACCUGCACCACUUCCUCUGCAUAUAUAUGAUAGCUUUCAGGUCCACCCACCCCAGCAUAUAUCUCCUCCGAAAUACACCAAGUCCAAUCUGUGGUAUCCACACACUCAUUGGGAAAUGGUGAAACUUCCAAUGACAAGCAACCUAAAG